AUUGAACGCUGGCGGCAGGCCUAACACAUGCCAGUCGAGCGGAUGAAGGGAGCUUGCUCCUGGAUUCAGCGGCGGACGGGUGAGUAAUGCCUAGGAAUCUGCCUGGUAGUGGGGGAUAACGUCCGGAAACGGGCGCUAAUACCGCAUACGUCCUGAGGCAGAAAGUGGGGGAUCUUCGGACCUCACGCUAUCAGAUGAGCCUAGGUCGGAUUAGCUAGUUGGUGGGGUAAAGGCCUACCAAGGCGACGAUCCGUAACUGGUCUGAGAGGAUGAUCAGUCACACUGGAACUUAGACACGGUCAAGACUCCUAAGGGAGGCAGCAGUGGGGAAUAGUGGACAAUGGGCGAAAGCAUGAUCCAGCCAUGCCGCGUGUGUGAAGAAGGUCUUCGGAUUGUAAAGCCCUUUAAGUUGGGAGGAAGCGCAGUAAGUUAAUACCUUGCUGUUUUGACGUUACCAACAGAAUAAGCACCGGCUAACUUCGUG
rnacentral:rRNA from 1 species